rnacentral:rRNA from 1 species
CGCUUCUUUUUCCACCGGAGCUUGCUCCACCGGAAAAAGAGGAGUGGCGAACGGGUGAGUAACACGUGGGUAACCUGCCCAUCAGAAGGGGAUAACACUUGGAAACAGGUGCUAAUACCGUAUAACAAUCGAAACCGCAUGGUUUUGAUUUGAAAGGCGCUUUCGGGUGUCGCUGAUGGAUGGACCCGCGGUGCAUUAGCUAGUUGGUGAGGUAACGGCUCACCAAGGCCACGAUGCAUAGCCGACCUGAGAGGGUGAUCGGCCACAUUGGGACUGAGACACGGCCCAAACUCCUACGGGAGGCAGCAGUAGGGAAUCUUCGGCAAUGGACGAAAGUCUGACCGAGCAACGCCGCGUGAGUGAAGAAGGUUUUCGGAUCGUAAAACUCUGUUGUUAGAGAAGAACAAGGAUGAGAGUAACUGUUCAUCCCUUGACGGUAUCUAACCAGAAAGCCACGGCUAACUACGUGCCAGCAGCCGCGGUAAUACGUAGGUGGCAAGCGUUGUCCGGAUUUAUUGGGCGUAAAGCGAGCGCAGGCGGUUUCUUAAGUCUGAUGUGAAAGCCCCCGGCUCAACCGGGGAGGGUCAUUGGAAACUGGGAGACUUGAGUGCAGAAGAGGAGAGUGGAAUUCCAUGUGUAGCGGUGAAAUGCGUAGAUAUAUGGAGGAACACCAGUGGCGAAGGCGGCUCUCUGGUCUGUAACUGACGCUGAGGCUCGAAAGCGUGGGGAG